UUUUUUUAUUCUGGAUAAAAAUAAACAUAAGUAUCUCAAACACUCCAAAAUAAUUUACAGGGUGGAUGAAAAAUAGAAAAUGGAGGGGUGCCUGGGUGGCUCAGUUGGUUAAGCAUCCAACUCUUGAAUUUCGGCUCCGGGCAUGACCUCAGGGUCCGGAGAUCGAGCCCCUGAUAUUCCUUCUAGGCGGCAAGAGAUUUCAUUUAACCUUCAUUUGACACACACUGAUCUAGGUCUGGGGACUCAAAGGUAUACCAGAUACACUUCCUGUCCUGGGAGCUCACGGCCGGGGAGACAGACACAAGAAUAGGUAAUUGUAUCUCUGAGGUAAGUGCCAGGAUAAAAAUAGGCUCCUCGUGUUAUGGGAGCUCGGUGUGGGCCGGAAGGCUUCCCGAUGGCCACGACACCCGAGCAGAGAGCAGAGUCGUAAGGGAGAUCUGGUCAGGGCAGAGGAAGGGCAUGCCAGGGCAGGGGGCUGCACGUGCAGAGGUACAAAGGUGAGAAGCAACGGGGCAGGAGCACACUGUGCGGGAAGGCGGCCUAUGCUGAAGGCAGGGCCCAUCUGGGGAGCGUGGUCUCCAUCCUGCAGGGCACGGUGGGGAGUGGGGAAGGCCAUGUGGAAAUCUGUGCUCUAGGUAGAUCAUGGAGGCUGGUGGAGCUGGGAUUUGAGGAUCACAGGGCUGGGCACAGGGGGAUGAUGAGAAAGCUGUUGCGAGGGCCCAGAGGGAGAAGGGGCACCCCUGUGAUCCAGGAGCCUGGCAGGAGUCCUUUGCAUGCCAUCUUUGCACACACAGUGUGAGCAGAUCCAGCUUCUCCAGUUCCUUUUUCAGAAACAGACUCCUGAUCGAUGAUUCUUGACCUCUGAAAGCAUUGGUUCACACAGCCACUCAAUCGCUCCUGGAAGUUUUUUUUGCUAUUUUCAUAGAAUGGAUAUCAAAAUUCAUUUUGAUCAAAGUAUUUCAUUAGCUUUUGACUUUUCAGUGAGCAGCAAAGAGUCACCACUGAAUCAAGAACCUUUUGUUCUGUCAGCUAAUAUCAAGUAAGGAGCUUCUUUAAAAAGAAAUCCUGAUUAUACAAUCAUGAAUAAUCAUGAUGAAGAUAAAAAGAGGGAAGGAACAGAGGAGUCCAGUGUGCCAGCACGAGCUCCCUGUUGAGCUAAUUUUUUGAGAGGAUGGACAAAAUGUAGAGGAAAGAGCGUAAUCAGAGAUGAAUCCUGGAACAUGACACAAUCCCGAAAAAUACCGUCAGGAAGACCAUGCUGUGGUUUGCUGGAAAUCCUAAGGAAAACAAAACAGGCCUUCAUAGUGCCUUUGAUCAAAAUGAAUUUUGAUAUCCAUCCUAUGGACAAGAAGAAUGAGAGGGUGGAUCCACUGCAUAGGGGACUGCACAAGGUUGUGCAGCUCAGGAGGCACCUACACUCCCUGUCGUGGACAGAAGAGCAGCCACCAUACACCAUCAGGCUGCUGAUAAGAGGGCCUGGGGCUGGGGAACUGGAGACUCCACUGAUGCAGGUGGGGGGCAGGAGAGCAACUGGCCCUGGCACACUCCUAUUUCCAUGUGGCAGGACUUCAGCUUAACGACUAUAAGGAAUUCCCAACCUUUUGGAGGUGGUAAUGUCCUGUGGUGGCUGGAAAAAAUGAUCACAACCAGGGGGGCUUAAAACAAGACAUUUAUUCUCUUGUGGUUCUGGAGGCCAGAGUCAGGCAUCAAGGUGCGGCAGGACCUUCAACCCUGCACAGACUCUAAGGGAGGAUCCUUUCUGGCCUCUCCCAACUUCUGCUGGCUCUAGGCAUUUCUUGGCUGGUGGCCACCCGGUCCUGCUGCAGUGUCUGCCUCUGUCUUCACAGGGCCACGUCCUCUGUGUGGGUCUCUCUACUCCACAGGUCUCUUUAAGGACACUUGUCAUUGGAUUUAGGGCCCACCUGGCUAAUCCAAGUUGAUCUCAUCUCAAGGCCCGUCAUUACAUCUGAAAAGACCCUUUUCCCAAGUCAGGGAACAACUUACAGGUUGCAGGGAUUCGCAUGUGGACAUAUCUCUUGUGGGACCACCAUUCAACCCACUACGAGAUCAUAAACCACUUUCAGAAUCUGAUGAGAACCAGUGAACUGUGAAUCAUGUCACUGCUGGGCACUGAGGCUGAGACGAGGGUUCUUGAACAAGCAAUUUAUGGAGGGAGCGCUCUAAGAAGGGGAGAAAAGAAAGGAAGCGAGGGCAGGGGUCAGAAGCUCAGUAAGAAAUGGCCUCAGCUGGAGACUAGCUUGCACCUGGUCUCAUGAGCUGCCCUAGAGCAUGAAUUGCACUAGUGUUGUUCCCACCUGGAGGCAAGGGGUGGCCUUUGUACCCCCAAGUCAGUCAGGUUCCCUGGUGGGGGGCAGGUAGAGUCUCUGUGACCAGGAGCUCCCUCUAGGCCAAGAAGAAUUCAUAAAAGAAGUGGGCAGGAACACUCACAGCAGCCCUUGAGGGUAGGUCAAAGGGAUCUGGUCAACGCCCCACAUCUGCAGACUCUCUAGAAAAAUCACACACACACCCCAUUCAAUCUCAGGGACUUAGGCCCUCUAAGGCCUUAGACUCUAGGUUUAGGACCUGUGACCACUGCUGACCUAACACUUUGGGUCCCUCAUCUCCCAGAGGAAUGACUGGUGAUGUCUGGGAGGUGGACGGAGCACCCUCAAAUUGAUCCUCUUCUGACUGAACUUCCUGCGGAGCAGGCCUCCUGCCCUACGGAGGGGCUGCCUCAGGGUGAGGGAGAUGACUUCAAAGGAAAGUCCCUUUGGCCACAGAUGCACAGCCCUCCUUUCUAAUCAGCUUUUCAGUGAUACAGCUAAUAGCUUAAUCUCCACCUGUCCCACUCCUACCUCUCUCAAGCAGUUCUGAAUCCUGGCAGGAUAUUCACAAACCUGCUAAGACCCCAAGUCAUGUCAUCAGACAGUGCCUCUCAAACUACGAUUGGUAGGUUGGCUACCCGACCGCUUGCCCCAGGGUAUGAUGGACCCACUGCUUCCUCACUGGUCAAGCUUGUGCCAGAACAGUUGGCUGACCUCAACAGUGUACGCUGUGAUGCAGAGGGCUUGCGUGCUACGCAAACUCGCUUCCUUGCGGACAGGCACUUUGAGCAGCACUGACAGAGGCAAUUGUGGACAAUCCUGGGAGGCUGAUGAGACAGGUGGGCACCACCUGAAGGGCUCUCAUCUGAAACAGGGGGGACAGUGUAUUGAGCAUAAGUUAAAAAGGGGCAACAUCUGACUCAAAAUAAUGCUAUGGUAACAUUAAUGCUUAAUGGGGAAUCGUUCAGAGCCUUCACCACCGCUGCUGGAUCCUGGAGGCCUUGUCAGGGCAGUGGGCAGGUAUGAGGGCCAUACGGGGAAGGACCUGGAAGGACUUGUGGGGAAGCAGACCAGAGUGGAGACAAGGGAAGGUGCUGGAAAGGGAAGUCCUGUGGGUGAGACGUGGGAGCAGAGUGAGGGUUACUGUGUUUUGGAGAGCAGCUGCCAUCGUGGGGGAGGGGAGGGACUAAGCGGAGACGGAACUGCCAUGGAAGGUCUCUCAUUAGCCUGGGCCCUUUGGCAGGUCCUAGUAAUGUGCUCAUGUUUUUGUAAAAUUUUUUAAAAGAUUUUAUUUAUUUAUUCAUGAGAGACACAGAGAGGGAGGCAGAGA
rnacentral:lncRNA from 1 species